rnacentral:rRNA from 1 species
UGGGGAAUAUUGGACAAUGGGCGAAAGCCUGAUCCAGCCAUGCCGCGUGUGUGAAGAAGGUCUUCGGAUUGUAAAGCACUUUAAGUUGGGAGGAAGGGCAUUAACCUAAUACGUUAGUGUUUUGACGUUACCGACAGAAUAAGCACCGGCUAACUCUGUGCCAGCAGCCGCGGUAAUACAGAGGGUGCAAGCGUUAAUCGGAAUUACUGGGCGUAAAGCGCGCGUAGGUGGUUUGUUAAGUUGGAUGUGAAAUCCCCGGGGUCAACCUGGGAACUGCAGUCAAAACUGACUGACUAGAGUAUGGUAGAGGGUGGUGGAAUUUCCUGUGUAGCGGUGAAAUGCGUAGAUAUAGGAAGGAACACCAGUGGCGAAGGCGACCA